rnacentral:snRNA from 1 species
GUCUUUGCGCUUGGGGCAAUGACGCAGCUAGUGAGGUUCUAAGCGAGGCGCGUCUCUUGCUGGUUGAAAACUAUUUCCAAACCCCCUCUCCGGCCUGGGCUUGACCUUGGCCGUCGAGAAUUUCUGGAAGGGCUCCCUCGGGGUAAAGCC